UUGAUCCCUCCUCCGAGGUCCAUUCCGAGGCUGUGCCUUCCAGAAUUUUCUCCAGGGCUGGAUGGGAUUCUGGGCUCAGUGGGCGAGCUCCUCGGUGGAGGCAGGGGCGGGCUCUCUCGGUCUUGGUCACCUCUGCGGGCUCCCCGCCCUCUCAGGCGCAGGCGGCCCGCCCAGGGCACGGUCCUGACCUUCGCGGGGACUCCUCGGUGGCCGCGUGAGCCGGCGACACUCCAACCUUCCUCCACCCGCCCAGCCGAGAGCCGCCGCCAUGCGCCGGGUGCUGGUCGUGGGCGCCGGGCUCACCGGAAGCCUGUGCGCCGCGCUGCUGAGGAGGGCGGCAGCCGGCCCCCUGCACCUCGCUCUAUGGGACAAGGCUGGGGACGCAGGGGGAAGAAUGGUUACUGCCAACAGUCCUCAUAAUCCGCGAUGCACAGCUGACUUGGGAGCUCAGUAUAUCACCUGUACGCCUCAUUAUGCCAAGAAGCAUCAAGAAUUUUAUGAGGAGUUGUUAGCUCUCGGGAUUCUGGUGCCUCUGACUGCACCUAUUGAAGGAAUGAUGGUGACGGAAGGAGAUUGCAACUUUGUGGCACCUCAUGGAAUUUCUUCAAUUAUUAAGCACUACUUGAAAGAAUCAGGUGCAGAAGUCUUCUUCAAACAGUGUGUGACCCAGAUCAACCUGAGAAAUAACAAGUGGGAAGUGUCUAAGGAGACAGGCUCCCCUGAACAAUUUGACCUUGUUGUCCUCACCAUGCCAGCUCCGCAGAUUCUGGAACUUCAAGGUGACAUUGUAAAUUUGAUUAGUGAAUGCCAAAAGCAGCAACUAGCAUCUGUGAGCUACUCCUCUCGUUAUGCUCUGGGCCUCUUUUAUGAAGCAGGCAUGAAGAUUGAUGUCCCUUGGGCUGCCCAAUACAUCACCAGUAAUCCCUGCAUACGCUUCAUCUCCAUUGAUAAUAAGAAGCGCAAUAUAGAGUCAUCGGAGUUUGGUCCAUCCCUGGUAGUCCACACCACGGUCCCAUUCGGAGUUACACACAUGGAGCACAGUGAGCAGGAAGUGCAGGAGAUGAUCAGCCAGCAACUGGAGACCAUUCUGCCGGGUUUGCCUCAGCCGGUUGCUACCAAAUGUCUUAAGUGGAGGUAUUCACAGAGGCCAGUUUAUCUGAGUUUCCUGAAAUUCUGUUCUCCAUCCCAAGACAUCUUUCUGGUCUGGCAAAAGUGUAUCCAUCCUAAAGAAGAAGUUCUACAAUGCAUGGUUCUCCCUGGCCACCUUUGAUGGGCAUGGUAGCAUGGCUCCCUUCUCUGCGCUGCAGGGAUACCCCUGAAGAGCUGCACUGCAGCUCAGGAAGGGUACCAGGAAACUGAAGCAUGAAGAGAUGAAGGGAUCUGUCUGAAAGUGUGCUGAUGCCCUAACCUGAACGGGACCUCCUAACUGACACUUGUGUUCUGUGACCUGCUUCCUCCGGACCACACUCCUCCUUGUGUCUGUAGCACAGCCCUGCUUUUCACCAGGGAGUUUAAAAAAAAAGUUCUAUCCCUUGAGAACUAGCUGAAAAGAAAACUGACCCAUCAAGGCUAGUGUUUCCUUAUGACCUUUUUUUUUUCUCAAUUAGGAAACAGUUGUUUAGGUUCCCAGAAGGCAGGCUGCCUUGCUGGAGCCUCUACCUCUUUCUUAAAGGAGUCAGAGCCUUUUUUCCUGUAGAACCUGAAGAUGCAAUUAAGUAAAUCUCGGUAUUAGCAAAGAGUGACACACUACAGAUCCUCAGAGCAUUUGAGAAAUCAUGUCAUAUAUUAAGGACUUAACAUAAUUCUGGUGUAUAAUACCAAUAAACACUUAAAUAGUCUA